UAGAGCUCUACUGCCCCCAAGAGGAAUUAGUUUCCACAGGACACCAGCAGUUUCUUUCCCAUAGGCCCUUGCUAGGAGGAGGGCUGGACUUUGACCUGAAGCUCAUUGUCUUCCCAGGCACCAGGAGAUGUCAGGAAGCUGGUAUAAAUCCUCAUGGGACUUGAAGGGCGAGUGGCCUGAAGUGGGUCACAAGUGAUCAGGGAUUCUCAAACUGCUGUUCCCAGCUUGCAUUUAAAAAUGGGAAAUAACUCAAAAGACAAUUGCAAACUCUCUGCAGUCAAGAUGGCUCCUGCUUGUAAUCUCAGUGUUCAGAAGGUCUGGAUCCCCUAGGGUUGCCACCAGGAUCACCAGAAAGUUUGUUAAAUAGAGAAGCACUUGAUAGAAGGCACCUGGAUAAGGAUGGACAGAAAUCAGAGGCCUUGGCUAUCUGGAUUCUGACUUCUUCAAAAAGAUGAGAUGAUAGAUGAGAGUGGGUGCCUUAGAUCUCACUUCCUUUUCUUUAACAUAUUUUUGUUGCUGGGAUGAGAUUCUAGCCAUUCCUAAUAUAAAUACUAUUGAAAGCAAAGGGAAACCGAAAAUUUAGUUCUUGUAUCUGCUCACUCUUAAGACGGAAUAACAAAAAGCUGAAGCCUGGGUCUAUUGCAGAUGUUUUGUUGUUUCCUCAGGUUGGAAUGGUAGGAGCAGAGCAAGAUCCUUGAUGAUGGGCCAAUACUGUUCUCUUAUGGCACAAGUUCCAGUAUAUAGAUAAUUUCUGCCACACAAGGCCCUAGAAGCCCCUAAAACUGAGUCUA
rnacentral:lncRNA from 1 species